UAGGGAAUCUUCGGCAAUGGACGGAAGUCUGACCGAGCAACGCCGCGUGAGUGAAGAAGGUUUUCGGAUCGUAAAGCUCUGUUGUUAGAGAAGAACGUUGGUAGGAGUGGAAAAUCUACUAAGUGACGGUAACUAACCAGAAAGGGACGGCUAACUACGUGCCAGCAGCCGCGGUAAUACGUAGGUCCCGAGCGUUGUCCGGAUUUAUUGGGCGUAAAGCGAGCGCAGGCGGUUCUUUAAGUCUGAAGUUAAAGGCAGUGGCUUAACCAUUGUACGCUUUGUGAACUGGAGGACUUGAGUGCAGAAGGGGAGGGUGGAAUUCCAUGUGUAGCGGUGAAAUGCGUAGAUAUAUGGAGGAACACCGGUGGCGAAAGCGGCUCUCUGGUCUGUAACUGACGCUGAGGCUCGAAAGCGUGGGGAGCAAACAGG
rnacentral:rRNA from 1 species